rnacentral:rRNA from 2 species
UACAGAGGGUGCAAGCGUUAAUCGGAUUUACUGGGCGUAAAGGGCGCGUAGGCGGUUAUAUGAGUGUGAUGUGAAAGCCCUGGGCUUAACCUAGGAAGUGCAUCGCAAACGAUAUAACUGGAGUAUAUGAGAGGGUGGUGGAAUUUCCGGUGUAGCAGUGAAAUGCGUAGAUAUCGGAAGGAACAUCGAUGGCGAAGGCAGCCACCUGGCAUAAUACUGACGCUGAGGCGCGAAAGCGUGGGGAUCAAACAGG